CAGUUUCUAUCCUCUUUUUGAAAUGAGCUAAUUUUGUACGAAAGGACUUUUUCGCUAAAGCAAUGCUUUGUCACAAAUCUGUGUUUGCAUGAAUAAUAGUGUAUAAUAGGUUGAUUAGCCUAUAGAAAGGGUCA
rnacentral:rRNA from 2 species